CCACCCUCUACAAUAAAUAACCUUUAUCAGAACUUCUUUGGCAUUGGAUCUGUAUCUCAGAAUAUAAAACAAGGAAAGGGAAGGGGAAAUGGAAAGGCUAAGAAGAAAUGAUUUGAGAUCCGUUUUCUGAUUUUUUGUGUUUAAGAAGACAAUAUUUUUUUCUUUUGUAGACUUGAAUUAAUGCUGAAUCAAAAGUGGCAGCAAUGAAGACUUCAUCUGAGACCCAUUUAAAACCGUCACAAUCUGUACAAGUGAGGUUUGAUUUUGCAGUGGGCAGUUUUUGAAGCAAUGACCAGAUUCUCCGCAAGCGUAACAACCAUUCUCUACUGGUAAUUUCACCAUCUUGCAUUUGACAGGAUCGAUGGCAUCGUCAAACCAUUCAAAGUACUGACAGGUUGGAAUUGAACACUUCAAAAACAUUUUUUCGUUUGUUUCUUUUGCUUUUGAACACAAUAGUUGCCUUAUACCAUUACAUGGUAUUUAUUUGCACCUGGAAUAAAUCCAAGGACAUACCUUUGGAUCAUGAAUUCCCUGUGCACAGAUAGAACAUGAAAUUAGGGGUUGUUUUAAUCUUAAUCUUACCUUGCUGCUGCUACUGCUGCCUGGAGAGUUUACUUCAUUUUGGCUCAUGUCUUAUUUAUUUUUAUUUUUUUGAUCUGUUGAGUAUGACAAAUACUAU